AAAAAAAAUUCAAAAAAAACAACAUGGCCCAAUGCUCCCAGAUUCCUGCAGAAACCUCCCCAACUGUUCCCCCAGCCGCCCAGCACACAGAAAUUCAAACUCAGAAAAA